CUUUGGAACGAAAGCCUUAGGAGGAGUUAGCCACAUUCCAAUGUGUGCGGAUCGGCAAAAAAUGCGGAAUAACCCUUUAACCGUACAUUUGACAGAUACGCGCGCAUUGACUUUUUCGUAGAUCUUAUUGAGUUACAUGUGUGUGUCAAUUUUUGUGUCAAUAUGACAAAGCGUAUAGGCGUGACACUCAACAAUGUGUAUUUUCACCUUAGGGGACAAGAAAAAAUUGACUUUUUUCUUCUGCCAUGGGGGGGCGCUCUUUUGGGGAGUAAAAAUUCCUUCACAAAUGUGUUGAUGGCUGGACAAUGCAUCAUCCUAGAAAACUUGGAGGCCAGUGAGGACAAAAAUAAAAAGUUAUAAGACUUUUAAAUAUGUGGAUUUUAGUGUUAUCUUUGGCGCCCCCUAGAACCUAAACCUUGGGGUGCAGUGUCAUGAUUUUGAUAACUUUUAAUGGCCACGGGGUGUAGAUUGGCCUGAGCAAAUGUGGUGCCGGUGGAACGAAAGCCUUCAGAGGAGUUAGCGAAAUUCCAAUGUGUGCGGAUCGGCAAAAAAUGCGAAAUAACCCUUUAACCGUAAUUUUGACAGAUACGCCCGCACUGACUUUUUUGUAGAUCUUAUUAAGAUACAUAUGUGUGUCAAUUUUUGUGUCAAUAUGACAAAGCGUACAGGCGUGACAGUCAAUAGUGUGAAUUUCCACCUUAGGGGGCGCUAUGGAGCCAUUUUGCAUUUUAUUGUUUGGGCGACUUCAGAAUAUCGAAUUUUUCACCAGGCCCGGUCGUCCUGCCAAAUUUCAUGAGUUUUCGCCAGUGGGAAGUGGGCCAUUUUCCAGUUCAAAGGGGAGGAAAAAGAAGAAAGAAAGAAAGAAAGAAAGAAAGAAAGAAACAACUAGGGCCCCGUUGGGGCACUGGCGGGCCCGAGCCGUGUCACGCCGCCCCCAGCGCGACCGCCUCCCCCACCCGAUCGCGUCACACUCAAGGUCCAAAGAUGGUGUGCACACUUGUUUGUGGUCAUUUACCAUUAUAAUGAACGGGAGGCGCAGUUUCUACCAAAACGCUCGCUGCAGAAAAACUCCAUGUCCUAUUUGAAAAAAGUCUGGACCAUGAGUGAGGGCACAAACACAGCUAAGAUAUAUCCAAAUGGCAAGUUGCUCCUCUU